UACGUAGGAUGCAAGCGUUGUCCGGAAUUAUUGGGCGUAAAGAGCGAGCAGGCGGUUUGGAAAGUUGGACGUGAAAUUUUAGGGCUUAACCCUAAAGGGUCGUCCAAAACUCCCAGACUAGAGUGCAGGAGAGGAAAGCGGAAUUCCCGGUGUAGUGGUGAAAUGCGUAGAGAUCGGGAGGAAUACCUAUGGCGAAAGCAGGCUUCUGGGCCAUCACUGACACUGAUCUGCGAAAGCUAGGGGAGCAAACAGG
rnacentral:rRNA from 1 species